rnacentral:rRNA from 3 species
GGGUUGUGAGGUUAAGCGACUAAGCGUACACGGUGGAUGCCCUGGCAGUCAGAGGCGAUGAAGGACGUGCUAAUCUGCGAUAAGCGUCGGUAAGGUGAUAUGAACCGUUAUAACCGGCGAUUUCCGAAUGGGG